UUAGAGUUUGAUCCUGGCUCAGGAUGAACGCUAGCGGCAGGCCUAACACAUGCAAGUCGAGGGGUAAGGUCCAGCUUGCUGGACACACGACCGGCGCACGGGUGAGUAACGCGUAUGCAACCUACCUUUAACUGGAGGAUAGCCCCGAGAAAUCGGGAUUAAUACUUCAUAACAUUCUAACAGGGCAUCCUGUUUGGAUCAAAGCUUUGGCGGUUAAGGAUGGGCAUGCGUGACAUUAGCUAGAUGGUGAGGUAACGGCUCACCAUGGCGACGAUGUCUAGGGGUCCUGAGAGGGUUAUCCCCCACACUGGUACUGAGACACGGACCAGACUCCUACGGGAGGCAGCAGUGAGGAAUAUUGGUCAAUGGAGGCAACUCUGAACCAGCCAUGCCGCGUGAAGGAAGACUGCCCUAUGGGUUGUAAACUGCUUUUAUUUGGGAAGAAACUCCCGCACGUGUGCGGGACUGACGGUACCAUAAGAAUAAGCAUCGGCUAACUCCGUGCCAGCAGCCGCGGUAAUACGGAGGAUGCAAGCGUUAUCCGGAUUUAUUAGGUUUAAAGGGUGUGUAGGCGGGAGUCUAAGUCAGUGGUGAAAUCUUUCGGCUCAACCGAAAAACUGCCAUUGAAACUGGAUUUCUUGAGUAUAGUUGAGGUAGGCGGAAUGUGUAAUGUAGCGGUGAAAUGCUUAGAUAUUACACAGAACACCGAUUGCGAAGGCAGCUUACUAAGCUAUUACUGACGUUGAUGCACGAAAGCGUGGGUAGCGAACAGGAUUAGAUACCCUGGUAGUCCACGCCGUAAACGAUGAUUACUCGUUGUUGGCGAUAUAUUGUCAGCGACUGAGCGAAAGCAUUAAGUAAUUCACCUGGGGAGUACGACCGCAAGGUUGAAACUCAAAGGAAUUGACGGGGGCCCGCACAAGCGGAGGAACAUGUGGGUUAAUUCGAUGAUACGCGAGGAACCUUACCUGGGCUUAAAUGUAGAACGACCGCCGCCGAAAGGUGGUUUUCCUUCGGGACGGACUACAAGGUGCUGCAUGGUUGUCGUCAGCUCGUGUCGUGAGGUGUCGGGUUAAGUCCCAUAACGAGCGCAACCCCUAUCGUUAGUUGCCAGCGGAUAAUGCCGGGGACUCUAACGAAACUGCCAGUGUAAACUGUGAGGAAGGUGGGGAUGACGUCAAGUCAGCAUGGCCCUUAUGUCCAGGGCUACACACGUGUUACAAUGGCCAGUACAGAGGGCAGCUACCUGGUGACAGGAUGCAAAUCUCGAAAUCUGGUCUCAGUUCGGAUCGAAGUCUGCAACUCGACUUCGUGAAGGUGGAUUCGCUAGUAAUCGCGCAUCAGCCACGGCGCGGUGAAUACGUUCCCGGGCCUUGUACACACCGCCCGUCAAGCCAUGGAAGCUGGGGGUACCUGAAGUCUGUAACCGUAAGGAGCGGCCUAGGGUAAAACUAGUGACUGGGGCUAAGUCGUAACAAGGUAACC
rnacentral:rRNA from 1 species